UGUGCUUGUUAAGUUGCAUGUGUUUGUUAAGUUGCAUGUGUUUGUUAAGUUGCAUGUGUUUUGUGAAGCUGCGUGUUUUUUCAAUGUUUGUAUUGAUUUGGUGCCAAAACAUACACACGUGUUUUGGACUUUGCAGCGCGUUUGCCCCUUUCGGCCACCGUAGACAUCAGACAUAGUUUAAUCAAUUUUCUAUUUCUCCAAACUACAGACAUUUCCAGCAUUAAGCUUGUGAUAAACGGUUGCAUUAAACUUUAUUGUAAUUAUAAAUAGGGUAAUACAAUUAUAAUCUUAUUCUGAAUUGUUAAAACAUUGGAUUGAACUUCCCGAGUGGGAUCAUUGGCUGCCCAAGUACCUCACAGAAAAUACUGUAAAUAGUGUCUACGUUGCAGAUAUUAAUGAUAGUUUUCAUAAAACAACAGGUAGUAUUUCAGUCAUUGUUUACCUGUCUUGCAGCCGUCAGAGUGCCGUCAACGUCAAAUAGACAAAGUGUGCUGGAGUCCACCGACACUUCACCCAUCUUGAUUCUCCCAAAAAUAGUUAACACACAGACUCGUCGUUUCCUCCGAUGCACGCAGUUAAUCCUCGCCUCUUCCCGAGUGUCGUGGCUCCUGUCAGUACGCAACCGGUCCACGCAUGCGCACAAUCUACUCGAAGAGGGUACAUGCGGCAAAGAACACGUCACUUCUUGUCAACUUGCUUUACGGCAUCCUGCUGUUACCAUGGACAGAAACACGAACAAACGGCUCAGCAGUCUUAAAUGGAAACUACUACGUUACAGAUGGUGGCCCUUGGCAAAGGCCUAGUGCCUGACUGCCCCAUGGCCAGAGAUACGGUGAAGACCUCAACGGCGGAGCAGGCGGAAGACGGUAGUUUUAAGAACCACAACGGCUGCGAUGGCGGAAGAAGGCUGCAUGCCACUAGACCCUGACCCGAGUCUGUCAAGGAUCGUGUGGUGACUGUCUGUGCACCAGUCUCCCCACGUAAAACAAAGUCACGCACAGGCAUCCUCCAUGAAGGGAUACACCCCUACCAGGAGGAUCGUCAUACUCGUUCGAGUGACCGCCGAUGAUGAUGAUUAUGUUGGGAUAUAAUAUGAAGGAUGAAGUGAUUAAGAAAUGUUUAAUAUAUAUAUGCUUAGAAUAGGCCGUGCAACUAAUCAUAUCCUCUAAGUUCCAGUUGGAACUGGGUCCAAGUUCAAGCACAGGCACAUUCACUCUUAUCGUCCACAUUUUUGCUACUGUUGAUGUGGUUUCUUCGCCGAGGUCUGAAGGACAACACCAGAUAUGAAGUCGGAUUCCAGGAAAGAGAAGUCAGAGGACGAUUCCACGCAGACACCUCAUCGCAUAUUCAUACAUUGUGAUACAUAUUGUAAGAGCGCGAGGGGGAGGGCGCCUCCAGACAGCCCUGUGUAAGUCGGCGUAUUGAAUGCUACUAGGGACAGAUAGCGCUCAGACAAAUUGUAUUAGAAUUGUAUCCA